rnacentral:rRNA from 1 species
UACGUAGGACGCAAGCGUUAUCCGGAUUUAUUGGGUUUAAAGGGUGCGUAGGCGGACCCAUAAGUCAGUGGUGAAAUACUGUCGCUCAACGAUAGCAUUGCCAUUGAUACUGUGGGUCUUGAGUACAGUUGAGGUAGGCGGAAUGUGUAGUGUAGCGGUGAAAUGCUUAGAUAUUACACAGAACACCGAUUGCGAAGGCAGCUUACUAAGCUGAAACUGACGCUGAGGCACGAAAGCGUGGGGAU